CUGACCUCAAAUCGGGUGAGACUACCCGCUGAACUUAAGC
rnacentral:rRNA from 1 species